CAGCAGCCGCGGGAAUACGGAGGGUGCAAGCGUUAAUCGGAUUUACUGGGCGUAAAGCGUGCGUAGGCGGCUAAUUGAGUCGGAUGUGAAAUCCCCGAGCUUAACUUGGGAAUUGCAUUCGAUACUGGUUAGCUAGAGUGUGGGAGAGGAUGGUAGAAUUCCAGGUGUAGCGGUGAAAUGCGUAGAGAUCUGGAGGAAUACCGAUGGCGAAGGCAGCCAUCUGGCCUAACACUGACGCUGAGGUACGAAAGCAUGGGGAGCAAACAGGAUUAGAUACCCCCGUAGUCCCUGUCUCUUAUAC
rnacentral:rRNA from 1 species